rnacentral:rRNA from 1 species
UAGGGAAUCUUCGGCAAUGGGCGAAAGCCUGACCGAGCAACGCCGCGUGAGCGAUGAAGGCCUUCGGGUCGUAAAGCUCUGUUGUUAGAGAAGAACAAGUACGAGAGUAACUGCUCGUACCUUGACGGUACCUAACCAGAAAGCCACGGCUAACUACGUGCCAUCAGCCGCGGUAAUACGUAGGUGGCAAGCGUCAUCCGGAAUUAUUGGGCGUAAAGCGCGCGCAGGCGGUCUCUUAAGUCUGAUGUGAAAGCCCACGGCUCAACCGUGGAGGGUCAUUGGAAACUGGGAGACUUGAGUGCAGGAGAGAAAAGUGGAAUUCCACGUGUAGCGGUGAAAUGCGUAGAGAUGUGGAGGAACACCAGUGGCGAAGGCGGCUUUUUGGCCUGUAACUGACGCUGAGGCGCGAAAGCGUGGGGAGCAAACAGGAUUAGAUACCCUGGUAGUCCACGCCGUAAACGAUGAGUGCUAGGUGUUGGGGGGUUCC